rnacentral:rRNA from 1 species
GACGAACGCUGGCGGCGUGCUUAACACAUGCAAGUCGAACGGGUCUGCCCUGUUUUUUGCGGGGUGGGUCAGUGGCCAACGGGUGAGUAACACGUGAGUAACCUGCCCCUCACUUCUGGAUAACCGCUUGAAAGGGCGGCUAAUACGGGGUGUUCUGGCUGUGCCGCAUGGUGUGGCUGGGAAAGAUUCACUUUUGUGGUGUUUUGGUGGGGGAUGGGCUCGCGGCCUAUCAGCUUGUUGGUGGGGUGAUGGCCUGCCAAGGCUUUGACGGGUAGCCGGCCUGAGAGGGUGGGCGGUCACACUGGGACUGAGAUACGGCCCAGACUCCUGCGGGAGGCAGCAGUGGGGGGUAUUGCACAAUGGGCGGAAGCCUGAUGCAGCGACGUCGCGUGAGGGAUGGAGGCCUUCGGGUUGUGAACCUCUUUCGCCGGUGAAGAAGGUCCUGCUCUUUGUGGUGGGGUUGACGGUAGCCGGGUUAUGAAGCGCCGGCUAACUACGU